rnacentral:rRNA from 1 species
UUUUCCGGUUGAUCCUGCCGGACCCCACUGCUAUUGGGAUGAGACUAAAACAUGCAAGUUGUGCGUCCCGGGCUAUGGCGGGACGCAGCGUACGGCUCAGUAACACGUGGCUGACCUACCCUUGGGACGGGGACAACCCCGGGAAACUGGGGGUAAUUCCAGAUAGGUGAGGAGGCCUGGAAUGGUUCUUCAUCAAAAGGACUUCAGCACCAUGCUUGCUGACGUCGCCCAAGGAUGGGGCCGCGUCCGAUCAGGUUGUUGGUGAGGUAACGGCUCACCAAGCCUAUAACCGGUACGGGCCGUGAGAGCGGUAGCCCGGAGAUGGGCACUGAGACAAGGGCCCAGGCCCUACGGGGCGCAGCAGUUGCGAAAACUCCGCAAUGCGCGAAAGCGUGACGGGGUCAUCCCGAGUGCCAUCCGCUGAGGAUGGCUUUUCUUCGGUGUAAUGAGUCGAAGGAAUAAGGGGAGGGCAAGACUGGUGUCAGCCGCCGCGGUAAUACCAGCUCCCCGAGUGGUGGGGAUGAUUAUUGGGCUUAAAGCGUCCGUAGCUGGCCUGUCAAGUCUUCCGUUAAAUCCAGCGACCUAAUCGUUGGGCUGCGGGGGAUACUGUCAGGCUAGGGGACGGAAAAGGCCGACGGUAUUCUCGGGGUAGGGGUGAAAUCCUAUAAUCCUGAGAAGACCACCAGUGGCGAAGGCGGUCGGCUAGAACGCGCUCGACGGUGAGGGACGAAAGCUGGGGGAGCGAACCGGAUUAGAUACCCGGGUAGUCCCAGCUGUAAACGAUGCGGGCUAGGUGUUGGAGCGGAUACGAGCCGCUUCUGUGCCGCAGGGAAACCGUUAAGCCCGCCGCCUGGGAAGUACGGUCGCAAGGCUGAAACUUAAAGGAAUUGGCGGGGGAGCA